rnacentral:ncRNA from 1 species
UAUCGUAUGCGCGCAUCUGGUGCCGCGCGGAACGCUCGAAGGUCUGCGCGGUUAAACGGGAAACAGGGAAGCGCCCGCUCGUCGCAACAUGAAAGCGACGACCUCGCGCUCAGCCUGUGCUGUCCCCGCAACGGUCACGCGGCGAGCGGAAAACAUCUUCCGCGCAGUGCGUUCGGAGCCACUGUCUGCCACUCGCAGAUGGGAAGGCGAACGCGAUGAGCCGCCAGCCCGGAUACCGGCCCGAUGCAAGGGGGCGAAC